rnacentral:rRNA from 1 species
AGGCGACCGCGUGACCAUGCAAGUCGAACGGUAACAGAAAGCAGCUUGCUGCUUUGCUGACGAGUGGCGGACGGGAGAGUAAUGUCUGGGAAACUGCCCGAUGGAGGGGGAUAACUACUGGAAACGGUAGCUAAUACCGCAUAACGUCGCAAGACCAAAGAGGGGGACCUUCGGGCCUCUUGCCAUCGGAUGUGCCCAGAUGGGAUUAGCUAGUAGGUGGGGUAAAGGCUCACCUAGGCGACGAUCCCUAGCUGGUCUGAGAGGAUGACCAGCCACACUGGAACUGAGACACGGUCCAGACUCCUACGGGAGGCAGCAGUGGGGAAUAUUGCACAAUGGGCGCAAGCCUGAUGCAGCCAUGCCGCGUGUAUGAAGAAGGCCUUCGGGUUGUAAAGUACUUUCAGCGGGGAGGAAGGGAGUAAAGUUAAUACCUUUGCUCAUUGACGUUACCCGCAGAAGAAGCACCGGCUAACUCCGUGCCAGCAGCCGCGGUAAUACGGAGGGUGCAAGCGUUAAUCGGAAUUACUGGGCGUAAAGCGCACGCAGGCGGUUUGUUAAGUCAGAUGUGAAAUCCCCGGGCUCAACCUGGGAACUGCAUCUGAUACUGGCAAGCUUGAGUCUCGUAGAGGGGGGUAGAAUUCCAGGUGUAGCGGUGAAAUGCGUAGAGAUCUGGAGGAAUACCGGUGGCGAAGGCGGCCCCCUGGACGAAGACUGACGCUCAGGUGCGAAAGCGUGGGGAGCAAACAGGAUUAGAUACCCUGGUAGUCCACGCCGUAAACGAUGUCGACUUGGAGGUUGUGCCCUUGAGGCGUGGCUUCCGGAGCUAACGCGUUAAGUCGACCGCCUGGGGAGUACGGCCCGCAAGGUUAAAACUCAAAUGAAUUGACGGGGGCCCGCACAAGCGGUGGAGCAUGUGGUUUAAUUCGAUGCAACGCGAAGAACCUUACCUGGUCUUGACAUCCACGGAAGUUUUCAGAGAUGAGAAUGUGCCUUCGGGAACCGUGAGACAGGUGCUGCAUGGCUGUCGUCAGCUCGUGUUGUGAAAUGUUGGGUUAAGUCCCGCMACGAGCGCAACCCUUAUCCUUUGUUGCCAGCGGUCCGGCCGGGAACUCAARGRAGACUGCCAGUGAUAMACUGGAGGARKGKGGRKRWSRSKYMARKYMWYMWKGGCCCUUACGAACCAGGGCYWMMCMMSWSYKACAAUGGCGCAUACAAAGAGAAGCGACCUCGCGAGAGCAAGCGGACCUCAUAAAGUGCGUCGUAGUCCGGAUUGGAGUCUGCAACUCGACUCCAUGAAGUCGGAAUCGCUAGUAAUCGUGGAUCAGAAUGCCACGGUGAAUACGUUCCCGGGCCUUGUACACACCGCCCGUCACACCAUGGGAGUGGGUUGCAAAAGAAGUAGGUAGCUUAACCUUCGGGAGGGCGCUUACCAUCGAUGGAUAC